rnacentral:rRNA from 1 species
AUUGAACGCUGGCGGCAGGCCUAACACAUGCAAGUCGAACGGUAACAGGAAGAAGCUUGCUUCUUUGCUGACGAGUGGCGGACGGGUGAGUAAUGUCUGGGAAACUGCCUGAUGGAGGGGGAUAACUACUGGAAACGGUAGCUAAUACCGCAUAACGUCGCAAGACCAAAGAGGGGGACCUUCGGGCCUCUUGCCAUCGGAUGUGCCCAGAUGGGAUUAGCUAGUAGGUGGGGUAACGGCUCACCUAGGCGACGAUCCCUAGCUGGUCUGAGAGGAUGACAACCCACAGUGGAACAGACACCGGUCCCAGACCCUGCGGGGGGCAGCCGUGGGGAAUUUUUGCACAUGGGGCCAAGGCUGGAUGCAGCCAGCCCGGGUGAAGGAAGAAGGCUUUGGGGUUUUAAAGUUCUUUGAGGGGGGGGAAAGGAAGAAAAUUAAAUACCUUCGCUCUUGCACUUCCCCCGAAAAAGAAGCCCGGCCUACCCCCGUC